AUCUGCUAUGGACAAGAAAACAUUCAAUAACGUUGGUACCUGGACGACCUUUGUUGUUUCAUGCCAUGGAUAUACCUUAAACAAAAUCAUAUUUAAAUCUGCGUCAAUUCUCAAAUCAAUUUAAGUGCUCACGAAUCUUUAAGGCUAAAUCUGCCAGGAACGAAGAAGAAGAAAAUAUUCAAUAACGUUGGUACCUAGAUGAACAAUCGUGUUCUAAAUUUUGACCAAAGGAGCAAUGGUUAUAUUAAAACUAUUACCAAACUGGGUCGAUUCUCAUGUCAACAUUUUCUAUAUUUCUAUCUAUUUUAAAGAGUCACACAUCCUUAAGGCCUAACCUGUCAACAUUCAUGGACAACAUACAUUUAACAAAUUUACGCUCAUCUACUUCAUCUACUCGGGGCCCAGUGUGCUGCUGUACUUUCUGGUCGGCUUUGUGAUCGAUAGCCUGUACGAAUUGCUCGUGGGUCAGCUAAUCUUUGCCAGCAGCGCCAUUAUAGACACCUUCAGGCUAAUGGUACUCGGCCGCUUCAUCUUUGGCAUUGGCGCCAAUUGCUGGCCGUUGCCCAAGGAAGCUACGCGGCGCGACAUAACUUCGCCGCUGAUCUGCGGAUGGACAUCGACAACAUUUAGCCAGCAAAGAAUGGCUAUUUAUGGUACCUAGUUGACCUAUAUAUCCUUGGUUAUUCCAUGCUAUGGAUAUAGUCCUAGAGAACCUAAAGGACCAAGUUCUUGCGAAAUGCGUAGGAACAGGGUCCAAAAAUAUGUAUGCUUUUCUUUUACAGCCGCCCCCAGCAACAGACCCGCCUUCAGGAUGGUUUCUAGUUGACUAUCAUAUCCUUGGUUAUGCCAUACCAUCGAUAUAGUCCUUGCGAACCUAGAGGACCAGAAUCCUUCAAACUGCAUGCAUGGUUUUUCUUUCAGGAGCCCUUUUACAUUAGCAGCAGCUGCAACAGUUGCUCAACAGCCGGCUUACAGCGCUCAUUUUACAGAAACUGCUAUUAACAGCGCUCAUUUUAAUUGAGUUACAUUUGUGCCCCGUAAUGCUAUGCAAUGAAAAUUUUUAUUCAAACCACUCGGCGACCUUCUGGGCAUUUCUGUUCGCCUGGUAUUUGAGCGGAAUUUUAGGGGAAAUUUGGGGAGUAGCUGCCGACCAAGGCACCCCGUGAGGGUAUGCAAUGAUUUUUUUCGGCCGCAAAAAUAUUUUGCAUCGACCUUCUGGGCAUUUCUGUUCGCCUGGUAUUUUUCGGAAAUUUUAGCUAAAAUUUGGGACCCAGCCGGCCGUUAGGGCGCCCCUUUUGGGUAUGCAAUGAAAUUUUUUCGGCAGCUAAAAAUCUUUUUUGUCGACCUUCUGGGCAUUUCUGUUCGCCUGGUAUUUUGGCAGAUUUUAUGAAAAAUCUCGGCAGCCAGCGGUUACCAACAGACGCCCCCUACGGGUAUGCAAUAGGUUUCUAAAGGCCGUUGAUUUUUGAAUUUUUAAAUAAAAAAACAAGAAUUUCGCUUUUAUCGCUUUAUUUAUGUUUCAAUUUAUAGAAGUGUUAUUUUUUAUGAUAAUUUUCUUAAUUAUUUUUCGUAAAAUUAUACAACGGAGCUUAAAUCAUAAUUUAAGCCUAUUUAAACUUAAAAUAACUAUAUCUGGCUUAUUUUAAGUCCGAUCCU